rnacentral:lncRNA from 1 species
UGAUAUUUGUGAAGCUUGAGAUUUUCUAGUGCUUGACUGGCAAUGGUGGCAGAGAUGGCUGGAGAGGAGGAUGAGCUUCCAGAUUGUGAUUGAAGAAUUGUUGAAGCUUGCCUUUCCAGCUCCAUGCUAACAACAAUUGCAUUGGCAGACUGCAUGGAGAGCCAUGAAGGUAGAGAAGUUGUAGGUUGUUCAACAAGGGAUUCCUCAAGAGCAUCAUUGAGGUCUUCAUCACUAUCAUCAUAAUGAAAAUCAUCUCCAGCAUUGGCAGGCAGAGCUGUAAAUGCCUCCUUUGCUCUAAGCAUAGAAGAUGUAGUGUGAAUCAGAUUGAGGUGCCUCUCAGCUGCUUGAUU